AACUAACGUUGGCGGCGCGUCUUAAACAUGCAAGUCGAACGGAUGUAGCAAUACAUUAGUGGCGAACGGGGUGAGUAACACGUAGGUAAUCUACCUCUGAGUCUGGAACAACCUGAUGAAAAUCAGGCUAAUACUGGAUAGUAUUAAUUUGGCGAAUGUCGGAUUAAUUAAAGCAUUUAUGCGCUGAGAGAUGAGCCUGCGGCUGAUUAGCUAGUUGGCGGGGUAAAGGCCCACCAAGCGACGAUCAGUAGCCGGCCUGAGAGGGUGAACGGCCACAUUGGGACUGAGACACGGCCCAGACUCCUACGGGAGGGCAGCAGUUUAAAGAAAUCUUGCUCAAUGGGGGAAACCCGUA
rnacentral:rRNA from 1 species